GGGGAGCAUGUAUGACAUAAAUGUUCACCCGAUACAAUCUUCCAAUAGUUAAAGCUGUAUUUUCCUGCUUGCAAUCCUACAAGAAAGUUUCGCAAGUCUCAAGAUACAGGACAUGUAU